rnacentral:lncRNA from 1 species
AAAGGUCAAAGGACCUUGGAGACAAUUUUUCAGAAUUUUUAAAGACUUAAAAGUAUUUUAAACAAUUAAAAAUUAUCACAAAAUCAAUAAAAUCAUGAAAAAUAUUAAUAAUGAUCCAAAAAAUAAUUUUAAUUUAGAAUAUGAAAGAGGAAUUUUUUAAAAAUUUUUUGGUGAAACUCUCAUAUUUUUGGAUCAAUAUUAAAAUUAAUAUGAAUUAAUGAAAAUCAAAUGAAAUAAAA